AGUUAAUGCAGUUGCUCGAAAGCCCACAUGACUAGCUACCAAUUGGUUGACCAUUGUGUCCGACGAUAACAGGAAACUUGUACGGGAGAAUUUUUAAAGUGGAAAAGCCACUGCACUGGGGCAGUUCCACUCUCUCUCAACCUCAGAAGUGGUCCGAGUAGUCGUCACAACUGGGAUCUUCCUUGUUUGCAGUGGACGACCAUGAUGCUUUCUGUGCCUCGUCACGCCCUUCACUCUCCACGGAGCAUUGCAGAACCAACUUCCUGGCCGUUGGAUCUCACUCCAGAUCUCAUCUGCCCAGUCUGCUGGAGCUGACUUCACAAGCUAGGACAGGGUUCUCUUGAAGACCCCGACCUGGAGUUACUGGCUGACUUUGGUCCUUUGCGGAAAUGGGGCCUGCCCUCAGGGCCUCAUGACCGGCCGCUUUGCGAUAUGCCAAGGUCACGGCCUGGAAGACCAGUGCGCCUUCAGGGUGCCAGAUUUUCGUGGCUCUGGAGACGGGCUGAUUUGAGGCCGGUGCCGCCGCCUGAUGUGGCGUGGGAGUACACGGAAGAUCGAAAGCAGCGAGCUUUGGGCACAGAGCUCGGAAAAGGCGACGCAACAGACUCUUAACACCAUAAAUCAGCGAGUUGUUUUGCUGUGUCUCCCCUCUCGCUGUGAAACAGGGACAUCUCUUUUUCCCUUAUUAGGGAGAGGGGGAGAGCCUGUGUUAUGUCGAAUUACCAGUGUUCAGGAAAAUAUAUUAAACAAUCUUGAAUCUUGAGUCCUUUAGAACAUCUUCAGGGAGUGGUGUCUCACAAAGGCAGCGUCCAUUAUUAAGGACGUCCAGCACCCAGGGCGUGGCCUUUUCUCACUGUUACCAUCAGGUAGGAGAUACAGAAGCCUGAAGGCACACACUCAGUGAUUCAGGAACAGCUUCUUCCCUCUGCCAUCCGAUUCCUAAAUGGACUUUGAAGCUUUGGACACUACCUCACUUUUUAAAAAAUAUAGAGUAUUUCUGUUUUUGUACAUUUAAAAAAAUGUAUUCAAUAUACUUAAUUGAUUUACUUGUUUAUUUAUUAUUAUGUUUUAUUUUAUUUAUUAUUAUCAUCAUUAUUUUCUCUCUCUGCUAGAUUAUGUAUUGUAUUGAACUGUUGCUGCUAAGUUAACAAAUUUCACAUCACAUGCCGGUGAUAAUAAACCUAAUUCUGAUUCUGAUCUUUUUUGCACCCUCUCUAGUUUAAUCAUAUCCUGACCAGAACUGCAAACAGUACUCUAAGUGUGGUCCCACCAACGUAUUGCAUGGCCGUAAAAUGACAUCAAUACUCUUGUACUCACUGUCAAGACGAAUGAAAGCAUGUAUGCCAUACACCUUCUUCAAUACCCUAACAAUGUGUCAGCAGACUCG